ensembl:lncRNA
AUCGGCUCGACCGGGCUGAGCGCUAGGGUUGAAUGGAGGCGAUGCCACGAGAUGAUCUGGCGGGGGAGGGGAAAUCACAGCCGCCCUCGCAAUUAGGGAGAGGAAUGGUAUCUUCCGAGGGAGUGGGCGGAACCAUUAGGGAAUCUGGCGGGGGAGGACAGAACUGCGGAGGCGCUCGCGAGGCGUGGCUGGCGCUGAGCGGGAGGAGUCGGGGGAGAGUGAAGUGCGGAGCUGGGAAGGCGGUAGAAGAGAGCGGCUCGUUGGUCUAGGGUCGUGCGUCAGAAUUCGUAAUAGAGGUGAAAGAGAAACUGCUUGAAAACAAUGUUACAGAAAUGCCAAGUAGUAAACGGGCACUGUGCUUUGCGAUAGCCAAGCAUUUCUUAACUUGGUUCUGGCCUGUAGCCUGAUUCUUUGCCUCAGUCUGGAGCAAUGGAGGCAGGAGUUGCAGCCACUCUGCUUGGGAGGGCUUCACCCUCGCGGCUUCCCUCCCCCUGUCCCCCGAGGCAGUGGAUGGCUGUGACAGGCGGUCUUUUUGAGAUAGCUCAAGUAAAUCUCAACUCCACAACCUGUCCUACUUCUUCCAGUCAAUGCUCCUGGUUAUUCAUGAGAAGCAAAAAGGACACAAAAGCAUUUUUUCUUCUCUUGCGGAACUGAAUGCUGAUUUUGCUGUCUGUGUAAGAAAGUUUGGAAACCAAUUAGGCAACUUUAUAGCAGCCUGCAGGGAGGCUGCUGUGGUCCCUGUCGCCCCCCUGUCUGAGCAGUCCUGCUCUGUYGCUGUUCCUUGUCUGAGCUUAAGGGGAAUGGAUUCAGCUGGAAGAAAAAUAACUCCCCACCAUUCCACACUCACACAGAAGAGAUGAGUUUACCUCCAGCUAAAUGAGCUGAGUUACUGAGAAAUCUGGUAAGUAUCAGUAUUAUCACUAGACAGAGGGCGGAAUUGCACAGCUAGGGGGAAAGAAGCCCUCAGGACAAAUUAAGAACUGUGUUCCAGAGCUUCCUUUCCUGUUCUGAAAAUAGCAGAAGAUACUAAUUCAGUCAUUACCAUCUGAAAAAGAAAACUGAUCUACAAUAAAUAUAUCCCAGCUAUUCUCUGUAUUGAACA